ACAAGGAUCUAAGUUCAGCCCAGCACUCAGGGUCUUGACUAAGUCUGACACAGUGUUUCAGUUUGAAUAUCAAACACAAAGGCCGGAAGGUUGGAGGCUUGGCUGCCCGCUGAUGAACUGUGGGACAUGGUUGGGCCUUCAGGGCUCUGACCUCAUCAGUGUGUGAAUCCCCGGAUGUGCUCUCCAAGGGCCUUGUCACCUAUCUGAGAUAUGCAAUCUGCAGGGUGGAGCCCUCUCUCCAGGUGACAGCCUUCCCUGGAGCAGCAUCUUCAACUCCCUGAUCAAGGAUGGUUUCCUCUCCAGCGGCAAGCUUGCAUCCUGCCCCUAGAGGCUCGUCUUCAAGGACAGAACUCUGUGGAUACGGAACAGGAUUGUACCUGCUCAUAGCUUCCCUGACAUCUAAACUCAGCCCCUAGUUUCGUGCAGAGCUGUAGCUGAACCACUUUCGUGCAUUGAAAGGGCUUGCUUCAAGGGCUACUCCUCCGUGCUUUGAGAGGGCUCUUCUCAAGUGCUCCUCUUCAUCAAUAAACUUGCUAACUGCU